rnacentral:ncRNA from 1 species
CAUAAAACUGUGAAGGAAAGCAGUAGAUAGUCGUGUUUUUAAAGAGAGCUUUUGAUAGGUGUAAAAAGGCAAAACAAGCUGUUGAAUCCGUUCCUGAGUUUGUAAGAGUAGCAACUUACACGUUGUGGGCGUUAACCAUUUGAGAGAUUGCAUUCAAUUGUAAUAAUUAGGGUGGUAUCGCGGAAGUUAUCAGUACUCUCGUCCCUUUA